CCUACAUAUCAAUGUCAACUCUUUAGACAACAAAAAAUAAUUUGAGGCCCUUAAAGGCCUCCAAUCAAAGGUUUAGUACAAACUGUCAGAAAUGUAACAACAAAAUUUAGUGAACACAACUUGCUAAAAACUGGAAGAACGGGAAACCCCUAGUCCUUCACUGAUGUAGGCUAUGGUACAACCAACACAGAACCUAUUAGGAUGAGUUUAAGAGCAUUUGAUCGAAUGGCUUACCUAUAGACUGUGUGUUGAGCAGGCUAGUGCAUAUAUAACCCAUCUGUAAUCAGCUCCAUUCCAGCAAAUACAAAUUCAUGUAAAAUUCAACACACCUAGCUGGCUACUCGAACAAUUAAUCAAGAAACAAGCACCACCAUCCUCUCUCGAAGCAGCAAGCAGCAACCUGUCUGCAAGCAAUUUCUUAGUGCAAGUUCUUUAUUGCAGUCCCACAUAAAUACAAGCAACACUGCAUCUCAAUGGUUUGCUUACACAUUUCAUUAGAGCAAACAUUUUGUUACACCAGCUAUUCAGUUUGCUACAGUGCCAAAUUUAGUAUAAUAUAUCGAUGAUAAUGUGAUGCACCGGACAAGUGUUACUACUGAAGACCUCUAUUUCUCAUGAAAAAAAACAAGUGAUGCCUACUUCUCAAUCGGGGCUAGCAGCAAUCAGAUACAUGGGACUACAAUAGAGUAGUUUUUUAUUUUGCUACCAGAAACUCAUUUCAUGAAAACAAGUGAAGCUUACUUCUCUCAAUUGGAUAGCUGAUGCAUUGAUAUUGAAAUACUACAUGGUAAUUGGUAACUGUAUUUCAGUUCCUUCUUUAGCUACCUGAAACUCGUUUUAUGAAAACCUAGAAAUACAUUCCAACUCACCUUGGUUGUGUCGGCAAGAAGAGAGGAGCAACGGCAGCGUGGCAACAGGCAGAGAGCAGCACCACGCCACUACCCUUGAGUCUCGUCUUGUUUUCAUGUAUGAUCAUAUCCAUGCAAUUGAAACUAUAUCCAUAAAAAAUGUUUCUUCUUAACUUCAAAAACCAACAAUGCAUUAUUAAAAUAAUGUGAAUCCCAUAAAAGGCUGGUCUGAUAACAAGUAUUGAACACAAAAGGUACAGUCAACUAAUAGAGAACAAUUGCCCAAUCAAGAAAAAAAAAUAAGCCAUGUUUCAAACUAAAAACAAUGGAUCGAUGACCAUUUCCAGUAUAAGCAACAUGAAAAGACUGCAUUCUAGUAAGCACAAUUUUCUUCGCAAAAUUCACAUCUAGCUGUACACUUCAAGUUAGAAAUUUUCUUCCCAAUAAGUAAAAUAGUCAUGUGCCAUAAUCAAUAUUUAUUAGGAAGCUAGUGUGCUGGAGACAUAGGUUGUAAUUAGCUAGAUAUUUUUAAGCAUUGUGGUUAUUUUAAUUUGCAACCACUACGCAUAAAAUUGGACACCUAGGGAUAGUUUCCCUGUUGUUCAUCCGAAAGAAAAAAAAAUAAAAAUAAAGCAUUGCAUAGGAAAUUGUUUACCUGGAAAUGAGAUGUACACUGAUCGGUAUCGCUACACGGAUGAACGGAUCUGAACAACUCAGAUCGGAUCGCGCGAGCAGCAGCAGUGUAGCACGCUAGCAGCAGGGUGGGUGCUCAGCCUCGUUGAGGAAAGUGGUGGGGCGGCUCGGCGCAGCGUCGUCGGAGGGGUCGUCGUC
rnacentral:lncRNA from 1 species